rnacentral:rRNA from 1 species
UUUUGGACAAUGGGCGCAAGCCUGAUCCAGCCAUUCCGCGUGAGUGAAGAAGGCCUUCGGGUUGUAAAGCUCUUUCGCAAGGGAAGAAAACUUACUUUUUAAUAAAGAGUGAGGUUGACGGUACCUUGAUAAGAAGCACCGGCUAACUACGUGCCAGCAGCCGCGGUAAUACGUAGGGUGCGAGCGUUAAUCGGAAUUACUGGGCGUAAAGCGUGCGCAGGCGGCUUUGUAAGUCAGAUGUGAAAUCCCCGAGCUCAACUUGGGAACUGCGUUUGAAACUACAAGGCUAGAAUAUGUCAGAGGGGGGUAGAAUUCCACGUGUAGCAGUGAAAUGCGUAGAGAUGGGAGGAAUACCAAGGCGAAGGCAGCCCCCUGGAUAAUAUUGACGCUCAUGCACGAAA